GUGAGGAAUUUUCCGCAAUGGGCGAAAGCCUGACGGAGCAAUGCCGCGUGAAGGAUGAAGGCCUUCGGGUUGUAAAGUUCUUUAGCCGAUGAUUAUAAUGACUGUAGUCGGAAAAUAAGCCCCGGCUAACUUCGUGCCAGCAGCCGCGGUAAUACGAAGGGGGCGAGCGUUAUUCGGAAUCACUGGGCGUAAAGCGUGCGUAGGCGGUUUUGUAAGUUAGGAGUGAAAGCCCAGGGCUCAACCUUGGAAUUGCUCUUAAAACUGCAAGGCUCGAAUCUCGGAGAGGAUAGCGGAAUUUCCAGUGUAGCAGUGAAAUGCGUAGAUAUUGGAAGGAACACCAGUGGCGUAAGCGGCUAUCUGGACGAGUAUUGACGCUGAGGCACGAAAGCGUGGGGAUCAAACAGGAUUAGAAACCCCGGUAGUCC
rnacentral:rRNA from 1 species